rnacentral:rRNA from 1 species
UAGCCGUAAACGAUACUCGCUAGGUGUCGGCCACGGUGCGACCGUUGUCGGUGCCGUAGGGAAGCCGUGAAGCGAGCCACCUGGGAAGUACGGCCGCAAGGCUGAAACUUAAAGGAAUUGGCGGGGGAGCACAACAACGGGUGGAGCUUGCGGUUUAAUUGGAUUCAACGCCGAAAAACUCACCAGGAGCGACGGAUAUAUGAAGGUCAAGCUGAUGACUUUACCUGAUUUUCCGAGAGGAGGUGCAUGGCGUAGUCGUGU